rnacentral:rRNA from 1 species
AUUGAACGCUGGCGGAAUGCUUUACACAUGCAAGUCGAACGGCAGCACGGGGGCAACCCUGGUGGCGAGUGGCGAACGGGUGAGUAAUACAUCGGAACGUGCCCAGUCGUGGGGGAUAACGUAGCGAAAGCUACGGUAAUACCGCAUACGAUCUACGGAUGAAAGCGGGGGACCGUAAGGGCUCGAGCGAUUGGAGCGGCCGAUGUCAGAUUAGGUAGUUGGUGAGGUAAAGGCUCACCAAGCCGACGAUCUGUAGCUGGGCUGAGAGGACGACCAGCCACACUGGGACUGAGACACGGCCCAGACUCCUACGGGAGGCUGCAGUGGGGAAUUUUGGACAAUGGGCGCAAGCCUGAUCCAGCCAUUCCGCGUGCAGGACGAAGGCCUUCGGGUUGUAAACUGCUUUUGUACGGAACGAAAAGGCUCUGGUUAAUACCUGGGGCUCAUGACGGUACCGUAAGAAUAAGCACCGGCUAACUACGUGCCAGCAGCCGCAGUAA